rnacentral:tRNA from 1 species
GCCUCGGUGGCGUAGUGGUCAAGACGCUCAGGAGGGCGUGGGUUCGAUCCCAGCCGAGGCA